GUCCCAGCUCUCCCGAUGCCAUAUCUUUAGGUCUAGUGUUUUUCCACCACAGGAAAGGAGAGAUUGGCAGAUGGAGGAGUGAAUGAGGUCAGGGUGUCGACUGUGUUUCACUGAGCUGUGCCAUGGCCAUCUCACCCCCACAAUGGAGGGGUCUAAGAGGGGGAGAAACAUAUACCCGUUUCCUGGAAGUCUCUGGUAAUGCGGCUGAGGUGAGGGUAUUUUUAAUGACUCUCCAUUUUUAGAAGGGUGUUUGUGAGUGGAGCUGAUUUUCAGAAGUCCUGGGUGUCACUUCCACGCCGACAGCGAGAGCUCUUUGUUGGACGAUUGUACUCGUGAUAUAAAGAUGCCCAAAAGAUUUCUGAGAGCAAAAUCAAAUCAGGUUUAAGAUGUCGUUUUCACUCGAAUAAACAAUGCUGUGCGAUCAGACACGA